rnacentral:rRNA from 1 species
GAGUUUGAUCAUGGCCAGGAUGAACCCUAGCGGCCGGCUUAACACAUGCAAGUCGAGGGGUAUACCAUUUCGGUGUUAGAGACCGGCGCACGGGUGCGUAACGCGUAUGCAAUCUACCUUUUACAGGGGGAUAGCCCAGAGAAAUUUGGAUUAAUACCCCAUAGUAUUACGACUCGGCAUCGAGAUGUAAUUAAAGUCACAACGGUAAAAGAUGAGCAUGCGUCCCAUUAGCUAGUUGGUAAGGUAACGGCUUACCAAGGCAACGAUGGGUAGGGGUCCUGAGAGGGAGAUCCCCCACACUGGUACUGAGACACGGACCAGACUCCUACGGGAGGCAGCAGUGAGGAAUAUUGGUCAAUGGGCGCAAGCCUGAACCAGCCAUGCCGCGUGCAGGAUGACGGUCCUAUGGAUUGUAAACUGCUUUUAUACGAGAAGAAACACUCCUUCGUGAAGGAACUUGACGGUAUCAUAAGAAUAAGGAUCGGCUAACUCCGUGCCAGCAGCGCGGUAA